CUAGCGGAGGACAGAACUAACAAGGAUUUCCUUAGUAACGGCGAGCGAACCGGAAAUUGCCCAGCUUGAAAAUCGGGGCGCUUUGCGCCUUGAAUUGUAGUCUGGAGAAGGGACCUCAGCAACGGACCGUGCUUCAGUCCUUUGGAAAAGGACGCCAGAGAGGGUGAGAGCCCCGUCUAGCACGGACCCUGUUGCAACACGAGGCUCUGUCUACGAGUCGGGUUGUUUGGGAAUGCAGCCUUAAGUGGGUGGUAAAUCUCAUCCAAGGCUAAAUACUGGUGAGAGACCGAUAGCGCACAAGUACCGCGAGGGAAAGAUGAAAAGGACUUUGAAAAGAGAGUUAAAAAGUGCUUGAAAUUGCUGGGAGGGAAGCGAAUGGAUGCCUUUGUUGCCUGCUGGUUGUGUGCGGAACGGCGUAAAAGCUGGUCUGUCAACCAAUUCAGCGGGCUCGCUAGUGUGGGGGUGGAUGCCGGGAUAAAGAUCCCGGGCUCGAAAGAUGCUUGGGAUUGAUGCUGGUGUCCACUCUGUGGCUUGGGUGUGCGCCUUUAUGGCGGGCCUUGUGCACCUGCACACCCGGGACGCUGGCGGUUUUAGGUUUUUCAUUCGACCCGUCUUGAAACACGGACCAAGGAGUCUAACAUGUAUGCGAGCCUGCGGGUGUUUACACCUCGCUAGGCGUAAGGAAACUGACGUGUGGGAUCCCCUUGUGGGUGCACCAUCGACCGACCAUGAGCUUCUGCGAAAGGUUCGAGUGUAAGCAUACCUGCUGGGACCCGAAAGAUGGUGAACUAUGCCUGAGCAGGGCGAAGCCAGAGGAAACUCUGGUGGAGGCUCGUAGCGAUACUGACGUGCAAAUCGUUCGUCAGACUUGGGUAUAGGGGCGAAAGACUAAUCGAACCAUCUAGUAGCUGGUUCCCUCCGAAGUAUCCCUCAGGAUAGCUGGAGCUCAUAUUGAGAGUUUUAUCAGGUAAAGCGAAUGAUUAGAGGCAUUGGGGGUGAAACACCCUCGACCUAUUCUCAAACUUUAAAUAGGUAAGGUGUCGGGGUUGCUCCGGUGAACCCCGACCUUUGAAUCUGAGCUCCAAGUGGGCCAUUUUUGGUAAGCAGAACUGGCGAUGCGGGAUGAACCGAA
rnacentral:rRNA from 1 species